rnacentral:rRNA from 1 species
AUUGAACGCUGGCGGCAGGCCUAACACAUGCAAGUCGAGCGGAUGAAGGGAGCUUGCUCCUGGAUUCAGCGGCGGACGGGUGAGUAAUGCCUAGGAAUCUGCCUGGUAGUGGGGGAUAACGUCCGGAAACGGGCGCUAAUACCGCAUACGUCCUGAGGGAGAAAGUGGGGGAUCUUCGGACCUCACGCUAUCAGAUGAGCCUAGGUCGGAUUAGCUAGUUGGUGGGGUAAAGGCCUACCAAGGCGACGAUCCGUAACUGGUCUGAGAGGAUGAUCAGUCACACUGGAACUGAGACACGGUCCAGAAUCCUACGGGAGGCAGCAGUGGGGAAUAUUGGACAAUGGGCGAAAGCCUGAUCCAGCCAUGCCGCGUGUGUGAAGAAGGUCUUCGGAUUGUAAAGCACUUUAAGUUGGGAGGAAGGGCAGUAAGUUAAUACCUUGCUGUUUUGACGUUACCAACAGAAUAAGCACCGGCUAACUUCGU